UAGGCGUAAAUGAUGCGAGUUAAGUGUGGGGGCGAUCUACGAGAUGGCCCUGUGCUGUAGGGUAGCCGUUAAACUCGCUGCCUGGGGAGUACGGUCGCAAGGCUGAAACUUAAAGGAAUUGGCGGGGGGAGGCACCACAACGGGUGGAGCCUGCGGUUUAAUUGGACUCAACGCCGGGAAGCUCACCGGAUAAGACAGCGGAAUGAUUGCCGGGCUGAAGACCCUGCAUGACCAGCUGAGAGGUGGUGCAUGGCGUAGUCGUG
rnacentral:rRNA from 1 species